GAGAGUUUAGGUAUUAUUAUUCCUUCGUUUUCGUCGAGAAUUCGGACCCUUGUAACAAAUGUGCUUUCAUAGAUUUUAAGGCAUCAACAGCAAUCGCUUGCUUCUUGGGGAAAAGUGUAUUUCGAUAAUAUCCCCUUGUCACUGAGACGACAUCACCUUUUGUAAAGUUAGUAGUUUCCUACGACGGCUAAAAGAAUGCAUUUCUUAUAAUAAAAGGAUGUAACCACUACCUCCCUAUUAUAGGUUUGAAAUGAAGAACAUUAUAAUUAUGAAAAAUUUAGCAUACCUUGCCUUCCUAGCUUUGAAACUUCGUUGUUUAACAGUUUUACCAAAAACGGUUUUGGCUGUUUACGAAGAAACCUCUAAAUAACUGUGUAAGUAACGGUGAUUUUUUUUAUAAGCUUGACAUACCAGUUGCCCAUAAAUUCUUUGAAAAGGUGAGACUGCUAGUUCAAGGGAAUUGAAGCGAAAAAAUCGAGUUGUCGGUUUCAUAAUACUCAUUUCAAUUAAAUGGGUGCACCAAGAAAUCCGUCAAGAAAGUUUUUACAAAAUAAAAAGAAAAGCAGCUUAAAUAAAUUCUCAAUUGAAUGUAGAAUUCAAAAACCGUUAGUUUAGAGGUCUAAGACGAAUCUUGUAGUGUGAACCUUUCCGAUGAUUAGAUUUAUAGUUUCUUUUA